UUACGUUAGGGAUUGAAGCGACAUCCUUUUGUUUUUUUAAAGAUAUAGCUGAAAGCCAAACCCUUG
rnacentral:sRNA from 1 species